AUUGAACGUUGGCGGCAUGCUUUACACAUGCAAGUCGAACGGUAACAGGUUAAGCUGACGAGUGGCGAACGGGUGAGUAAUGCAUCGGAACGUGCCCGGUCGUGGGGGAUAACGCAGCGAAAGCUGCGCUAACACCGCAUACGAUCUAAGGAUGAAAGCGGGGGACCGUAAGGCCUCGCGCGAUCGGAGCGGCCGAUGUCAGAUUAGGUAGUUGGUGGGGUAAAGGCUCACCAAGCCAACGAUCUGUAGCUGGUCUGAGAGGACGACCAGCCACACUGGGACUGAGACACGGCCCAGACUCCUACGGGAGGCAGCAGUGGGGAGUUUUGGACAAUGGGCGAAAGCCUGAUCCAGCAAUGCCGCGUGCAGGAAGAAGGCCUUCGGGUUGUAAACUGCUUUUGUACGGAGCGAAAAGGUCUCCUCUAAUACAGGGGGCUCAUGACGGUACCGUAAGAAUAAGCACCGGCUAACUACGUGCCAGCCGCCGCGGUAA
rnacentral:rRNA from 1 species